AAGACUAGAUUGUGUAAUGAUGAAACUAAAAAAGAAUACUUACCUAAAAUAUAUGAUCCUUUUUUGAGUGGGCUCUAUCGUGGAAAAGUCAAUUUUUUUUUUUCACCCUCAAUCAUAAAUGAAAUUUCCAUAAAAAAUUACAUAGAGAUGCUUUGGAUAAUAAAAUUUAUCUUAUCCUUCUUAUUUCUAAUUAUCAAGAAUUUGAACCAAAAAUGGAGGAUCGAAUAAGAAUUUAAAAUUUUUAUUUGAUGCAAUUGCAGUGGAUUCCAAGAAUAAAAAAAUUGUAAUAAUGAAUUUGUUACAAAAUCAAGUUCAGUAAACAAAUUCCUCGAUGGUCAUACAAAUUAAUCGACGAUUUGGAACAACAAGAGGAAAAGAAGAAAAAUGGAUGAAGAAAUUAAUAAAAAGAUUAAUACAUAAAAUAAAUAUAAUAAGAGAUAAAAGAGAUGCGACCACCUCCUACAUAUUUUAUGCCUUCUCCUGCAAAGAAACUCGUAAACCAACUCCAUUGGUAAUUCCAUCAAUUACUCGUCUAUCAAAAAAAGAAGUUAUUCUGCCAAUCUUCUUAUGCCUUCUGUUAAGAUAUUGCAUAAAAAACAUCUAUGUAACCACGAUUAUAGGACCAAUCAUAUAUCACAUUUAUUAUUUGUCCCUAAGAAUCUCUUAGGACCUUUUUUAGCAACCAAAUUAAGGAAUUCAAAUUUUGUAAGGAUGAAUAAAUCGGCUUAUAUAAAGAAGACGCUAUAAUAUCCCAAAAGAAGCUAUACUGACUGAAAAAGUUGAAUUUGUUACAAAUUCAUACCAAUCUACAGACUUAUUUUGAUUUUGAUGUAAAAGACUUAAAGACGGAAUUAACAGUUUGGAUAUAUAUCAAAAUUCAUUUCUUCUUGAUUGAAUUGAUUGAAAGGUAUCCUAUAGCUCCAAUAAACAGGUAAAUAGUACCAAAACAAGCAUCGGAAAUAUAUAGUAUUAUCCGAUUCCUGGGGAUAGGAAAAAUUCUUUUAGUACCAAAAUGAUUAAUAGUAUAAAGGACACGUCAUCUUUCUUACAGUACCACCAGUUUGAUAUAUUUUCUUCCAAAAAAACAAAAAAAAGAAGCUCUUUCAUUAUUAUUUUUAUUAUUUAUUGUUAAUAAAGGUAAUAAACGCAUUUUUUUUUUAAGAUUUUUGAUCCCUGUUUACCCCAUAAAGAUAUGAAUAGAAUGCGCUGUUUUUUUUACACUAUAAUUUUGAAAAUAAAUAUUUAAAUGCCCUUCAAAAGUAAGUAAAUAAACCCGAAACAUAUAAAUGCAGUUAAUCCUGCUGUGGAAAAGCUAUUAUUGCGAAAAUAGGUGAUACGACCAACUAUCAUUAAGAAUUCAUCUUUGGACCAAAAACAGGCGAGAGGUGGAAUACCACAAAGAGAAAGGGUCCUAAUAAAAAAGCAAUUUUUGUAAUUGGAACAUGUUUUGUUAAACCACCCAUAAGAACCAUAUUUGACUCUUAUCCGGAGAAUAGCCAACAAUAACUUCCAUUGAAUGAAUAAUGGAUCCAGAUCCUAAAAACAACAAUGCUUUCGAAUAAGCAUGAGUAAUCAAAUGAAAUAAAGCGGCUCGAUAGGAGCCCAUACCUAAAGCUAACAUCGUAUACCCAAUUGAGACAUUGUAGAAUAAGCUAAACCUCUCUUAUAUCUUUUUGAGCAAAGCUAAAGUGGCUCCUAAUAGUACUGUUAUUAUACCUAUCAAAGCUAUUAGCUUCAUUAUGUAAGGUAUAACUACGAAAAGAGGAAGAGUCGAGCUACAAGAAAAAUCCCGCUGCUACCAUGGUAGCAGCAUGUAUUAGAGCCGAAUAGGGGUAGGUCCUUCCAUGGCAUCCGGUAACCACACAUGAAGGGGGAAUUGCGCCGAUUUAGCAAUUGCACCGGAAAAUAUAGGAAGCGCACAAGGUAACAAAUAAAAAAUGAACCUCAUUAUCAUUAUUAUAAAUCAAGUUAUUGAUAUUUCAACAAAUCCUGAAAUUCGAAACUGCCUGUUAUCCAAUAAAGACCUAAAAUUCCUAAUAUAAACCAAAAUCGCCUACACGAUUAGUUACGAAUGCUUUUUGACAAGCAUUGGACACAAUAGGUCGUGUGAACCAAAAACCUAUUAAUAGGUAAGAGCACAUUCCAACCAAUUCCCAAAGAUAUAAAUUUGGAUUAAAUUCGAACUGGUAACUAAUCCCAGCAUUGAAGUAUUGAAAAAACUCAUAUAAACAAAAAAUCUCAAAUAGCCUUGAUCAUGAGACAUAUAACUGUCACUAUAAACAAGAACCAAAAUUCCACCGUAGUAUUAAUAUUACAAAAUAGAAGUAAGUGGGUCAAUCAAGUACCCGAACUCUAAGGAAAAUCAUUGUUGAUGGUCCAAGACAUACAUAUUGAUAAAUGGAACUGCUAUUUAUUUGCUGAAUAAACAGAUCGAUCGAAAAAACAUAACUAUACUUAACAAUAAACACUGGGAAAAGCCCAUAUACGGUGAAGUUUUUUUGUUGACACCGGAAAAGUAGCAGUCCCAUUCCUAUUAACAUAGGGACUGGAAGUGUAACGAAAGAUAUAAUCCAUAAAUAUUGAUAUGUAUGUUCCAUAAAAAAAUCUUAUUAUUUUUAAUAAAAAAAAAAAAUGAAUUAAGUUUAACUUAUUUUAUAACUGUCUUGACAAUUUUUAUUUUUAUCACUAUAGAAAUAGAACCUUUGAUGCUUUCAAUCCAUUAUAAAGAAGUACCAGGUAGAUAAAAAUGUGUAAAUUUUGACUGAUCUAGUUAGAUCAUAUGUUUGGGCUGGAUAAUGUAUCAAGGUAUAUACAUUAAAUUAGAUAAGAUUUUCAAUUUUAAGAUUUUAAGUCCGGGACAGAACUCGAAACUUUUUUGUAUAUUAUAUGUCCAUAAAUCAAUACCUAAUGGGGUUGCUAAACCUUAACACAAAUUUUCUACCUAACGAAACCCUAAGGAUUAUACAAUAAAAUAGUUUCAGAAAUCCCUGAAUGGAAUGUGAAAUUGAAAAAAUGAAAAAAUGAAAAAUGAAAAAAAAAAUUCAUUUUUUUUUUUUCAUUAUUUUAAUGUUUCUAAAAAAUAUUACAUUGAAUUAACUCCUCAAGCUCGCCGAUGAAUAAAAAAAGGUUAUUAUAAUUUGAGCAGCCGCCAUGGUGAAAUCGGUAGACACGCUGCUCUUAGGAAGCAGUGCUAGAGCAUCUCGGUUCGAGUCCGAGUGGCGGCAUACAUUUUUAAAUUAUCUAUUUUAAAAUUAUCUAAUAUUAAAAGGAUAGAAUAAAUCCUAUAAUGAAUUCAAUUCCGUAUGUAGAAUUAUGGAUAAUUAAAGUAUUCCCCCUUUUUUUAUGAUAUUUUUGACUUUAGAACAUAUAUUAACUCAUAUAUCUUUUUCGGUCGUUUCAUUGUAUUAUAAUUCAUUUUCUAACCUUAUUAGUCAAUGAAUUCGUGGGACUCUAUGAUUCGUCAGAAAAAGCAUGUAACUACUUUUUCUGCCACAGGAUUACUAUUACUCGUUGGAUUUAUUCGGGACAUUACCAAUAAGUGAUUAUACGAAUCAUUAAUAUUUCUUUCAUGGAUUUCUCUAUUAUUCAUAUGGUUCCAUAUUUUAAAAAACAUAAAAAUAUUUAAGCACAAUAACCGCACCAAGUACUUUUUUUACCAAGGCUUUGCUACUUGGGGUCUUUUACCGACAUGCAUCAAUCUAAAUCUUAGUACCUGCUCUCCAAUCCCAGUGGUUAAUAAUGCACGUAAGUAUGAUGGUAUCGGGCUAUGCAGCUCUUUUGUGUGGAUCAUUAUUGUCAGCAGCACUUCUAGUAAUUACAUUUCGAAAAGUCAUAAGAAUUGUUGGUAAAACAAUAAUUUAUUAAAUGAUUCAUUUCCCGUUGAUGAGAUCCAAUACAUGAUGGAAAAAAAAGUAUUUUAAAAAUACUUUUUUCCUUCUUCUAGGAAUUAUUACAGGUUUCAUUGAUUCAACAAUUAGAUCAUUGGGGUUUCGUAUCUUAGUAUAGGGUUCUUUUUUUACCAUAGGUAUUCUUUCAGGAGCAGUCUGGGCUAAUGAAGCAUGGGAUCAUAUGGAAUUGGGACCCAAAGAAACUUGGGCAUUUAUUACUUGGACCAUAUCGCGAUUUAUUUCCAUACUCGAACAAAUAAGAAUUGGAAGGUUUAAUUCUGCAAUUGUCGCUUCUAUCGGUUUUCUUAUAUCUGGAUAUGCUAUUUUGGGGUUAUUUAUUAGGAAUAGGACUACAUAGUUAUGGUUCAUUUACAUUAAUAUCUAAUGAAUUGAAGAAAGAGUUGACAAAUAUAAUAACCAUAGGACAGCUUAACAUAUUCAGGGAAGUCGUUGAGAACCUUUUGAUCACUCCAUACUUGAGUGAUUCAAAGGUUCUCGCAGGUUCUCGCAAAUGCUAAACAUCCGUUUUUUUUUAUUUAUAAUAACUAAUAACUACCUAUAAAUAAUAACUACCUAUAAAUAAUAACUACCUAUAAAAUUAUAAUAAUUACCUAUAAAAAAAAAUUAGCUAUAAAAUAAUUAGAUAGAAUAGCUUCGACCUUGUCACUGAUAAUGAGAAACGAAAUCCGGAUAAAUACCAAUACUGAUUACAGGCAGAAGGAUAGCAAUCGAAACAAUAAUUCUCGUGGUCCAGAAUCAAAAAAUAAGAAUUUCUGGCAUUAACAGCUUGUAUCCAUAGAACAUCUGGCGUAACAUAGAUAAUAAAUAAUAGGAGUCAAUAUCGUUCCAACUGCCGUUACAAAAGUAAUUAGUAUUUUUGGCAUAAAAAAUAUUUUUUGGCAGUAAUUAUCCAAAAAAUACUACCAAUCCGCAAAAAAACCGCUCAUGCCCGGUAAUGCAGAGAAGCUAACGAUAGAUACUGACAUCAUGAUAUUUUUGGCAUUAGGGUAGCCAUUCCGCCCAUUUCGUCAGAUAAACAAGACGUAUUCUAUCAUAACUUGUUCCUGACAAGAAAAAAGCGCAGCGCCGAUAAAUCCAUGAGAUAUUAUUUGUAAAUGGCCCCGUUGAGUCCCAUAUCGUGAUAGAGCAAAUUCCUAUAAUGUAAAGAAGAAUAGGCUAUUCUUUUUUACAAUUCUUUUUACCAAAUUUUUUGACCAGAAGAUGUGAAGGUAUUGCGCCUACUAUUAUCAACCAAGAAGAAAAUAUUGGGCGUGGGAUAAUAAUAAUACCAUAUUUAUUCGAAUCCAUAUGCUCCCAUUAUAAGAUUCCAGCUAAAAGCAUACAAGUAGUACUGUAAUGUGCUUCUCCAUGGGUGUCUGGUAACCAUGUAUUAUGUAAGGGUAUAAUCGGUGAUUUGACAUCCAAUAUAGAAUAGUAUUCCAAGGUCACAGGAUAUGAUUGAUUAGCUGAGGUCACAGGAUAUGAUGGUCAUUGGAAGCAUAGAAAGCGAUACCUAAGGCCCCCAUAUAAAAAACAGAACUUCCUGCAGUAUACAAAAUAAAUUUUGUAGCUGAAUACAGACGUGCUUUCCCCCCACAUAGCUAGAAGUAGAUAAACAGGAAUUAUUCUAACUCCCACAUAAGAAAAAAAGUAAAAGAUUUUGAGAAGAAAUAAUCCUAUUUGACACUAUACAUUGCUACAUCAAAAAAUGAAUAAUCGGGAUCCCGAGUAAUUGCCGAGCCGCUAAAGUAGCUAAAGUGGUGAUAAUCCGGUCAGUAAAUAGGUCCUAGAGAAAGUCCAUCUAUCCUAAUCUCCAGUAAAAAUCAAAAAAUUAAUCCAUUUAUAAGACUCCGUCAAUUGAUUAAGGGAUCGUCCAAUUGGAAUAAUAAGAGAAUGCAUAGGUCAUUAAAAGGAGUCUAGUACACAUAUAAAUAUAGUAUACCACCUAAUUACCUUAUUCCUCUAUGAGGAAAACGAAAAUCAAGAAACCGCGGAUAUUGUAAACCUACAAAUAUUGUUACCAAGGAAAAGAAUUCGUGGUAAGACAGAUACACUUGGACAAGAAAAACCCGUACUCGAAAAAAAAAUAAUAAUAAAAAAAAUAGAUUAGGUUUUCGAGUACGGGUUUUUGUCGGUAACAAAAAAUCAAAUGUAUUCAAGUGGUUUUUCUGGAAGUAUUAAUAAGCUAGACCCAUGCUUCGAGUUGUUCAUGCCAUAGAUAAACUCGACACUCAAGAAAUCUGUGGACAGGCGGAUUCGCAUCUCUACAGCCAACACAGUCUUCUGUUCUUGGAGCAGAAGCAAUUUGCUUAGCUUUACACCCGUCCCAAGGUAUCAUUUCUAUACAUCCGUGGGGCAGGCCCGGACACAUGAGUACACCUAUACAUGUAUCAUAGAUUUUACUGAUGUGACAUUGGAUCUAUAAUUUUUUUUUACGUCAUAAAUUUCGAUCUAGUAAAUUUUUUAAUGAUCAUAUAUUUAGACACCAGAUGAUCAAUGAUUAUCAUAUUUGUCUAUUCAUUUCGGAUCGACUCAUGAGAUAGAACCAAGAUACUUUAAUUUCUUACGUUUUCGUAACAUUAUCAGAUACGCUAUGUAUUAUAGAUGUCAAUUCAAAUUAAUGAAUCUAAAUAUUUUAUAUGAUUAAUACUACUUAUUCACAAAUUCAAUUGAUAAUACGGAUGAUUUCUGUACGAUAAAUGACGAAACUAUAGCCGGCCCGAUAGCUGCUUCAGCGGCUGCGAUAGAUAUAACAAAAAUUGAAAAAAUAUUUCCUUUUAAUUGUCGACUAUCAAAAAAUCAGAAAAUGUUACGAAAUUUAUAUUGACGGCAUUCAAUAUAGUUCAGACACAUAAGGGCUCUAACCAUAUUUCGACUCGUGAUCAAUCCAUAGAUACCGAUAGAAAAUAAAUAAGCACUCAAACCAAGCACAUAUUCGAGCAUCAUCGCCCAACUCCUUAUCGAUUUCGAUUAUUUCAUAUGAACAAUGAACAACAAUUUAACAUCAACAGAUUAGAUGACUAGAAUAAGAAUAUCACAAGUACAAAACAAAAAAAAUGGAUGGAAUAUAGAUCGAAUAAAGAAUUUAUAUAUGAAUAAUCUUAAAUAAAUGUGAUACAUAGAAUAAGUCUGAUUUGGAUGCGAUUGCCAUUUAAAGAUUAUACUGACGAGCCGUGCAAUCGCACCUAUCAAACUAUCAAAGCAACUAAAAGAAUUCAAAUGGAAGAAAAAAUCUGUGAUAAAUGAUUCCAAUUUGUUGACCAUUACUUACCAAAUCUUGCUCUAUAAUCUGGUUGCUCUGUAGUCCAAAUAAUCCCAUCCCAUACCAUGUUGUAUUUGAAAUAAUUAGUAAAACAAAAAGACUGUACAAAUUAGAGAAGUAAGACCAUCCCAACAGUCCAAAGAUGAAAUCUUUGUAUAUUCUGAACCAUUCAUGCAUGACAUCACAGCAAAAUUAAACAUUUAUAGCUCCCACAUAAAUAAGGAGCUGCGCCGCAGCUACAAAAUGAGAGUUGAUAAAUAUAGAAUAAGGAUAUACAAACAAGAACCAAUCCUAAUGAAAAGGCAGAAAAAAUUGGAUUGGUAAGUAAUACCACUCCUAGACCUCCCUAUAUAGACCUAUCCUAGAAAGACUAAAGAAAAUCAUGUAUUGGUCCAGGUAAAUUCAUGUACGUAAAAUAAAAGAUAAAAAAUCAAAUUCUUUUUUUUUUCAUGACUUAUUGACCCGACCAGGAAAAACUUAUUUAGAAUGGGUCCUAAUUGAAUUAAAUCCUAAAAGAUUAAAUUACUGUAGUACCGCUAUCGGACUAAUCUCAUUCUUCUCGAAAAAUAAAAAUUGACACUUUAAUUUUUAUUUCUAUUUCGAAAUAGAAUAAUUAUGGAUAGAAUUAUUACUAUAUUAAUAGAUUUUCAUCCAAAUUAAGCUGCGCUGCAUUCUUACCAAUCAAUCAAAUCCAAUCGCUAGUUGGGAUUUGUAGCUUUUGUAGUUAUGACCAAACAAAAUGAAAAAAAAAAUAUAUUCAGACUUUAUAUCAACCUAGAUCUUUGUUUAAUGAUUAAAAUGACUCUUCAAUCAUCUUUAUCAAGGGGGUUUGACCAUUUGAUUAAAGAUUGAGGUGAAUUCAAAUUGUUCGAAUUGUAUAAUCGUCAUUACUGACAUGGUAAACGACCUAAGCAUUUGGUUAUAAUUCAAUUCGUGACGAUUAUAGGUAGAAAGUCAUAUUCUUCAGUCAUUGAUAAACAAUUAGUUGGACAAUACUCAACACAGUGCCACAAAAUAUACAGAUUCCGAAAUCAUACUGUAUUAAGCAUCGUUUCUUUCGAAUAUUAGUUCCAAUUCCCAAUCAACAACAGGUAAUCUAUAGGACAUACACGAACACAUACUUCACAAGCAAUGCAUUAUCAAUUCAAAUGGAUUCGACCGCGGAAACGCUCCGAUGUGAUAAUUUUUCAUAAGGAUAUUGAAUAGUUACAGGUAAACGAUUUACGUGGGAUAAGGUAGUCAUGAAACUUUGACCAUGUACCUUGCAGCCCGUACGGUUUGUGACCAUAAUUCAUGAACCCAGUUACCAUAGGGACAUAUCGUGAUCUCUAUGAAUAAUUUUAUAUUUGUUUCUUUAUCUUGUUUGAGACAACUAUAAAUAUAGAAAAGAAUACUUUAUAGUGAAAAGAGUUGGGAAGAGGUUGUUAAUAAUAGAUGCCAAGAGAAAUAGGUAAAAGAAAUUCCAUCCAGAUUUAAUAGUUGGUCCAUUCUUAGUCUAGGUAAAGUCCAUCUGUGUGAUAGGAAUGAACAAGAACAAAUAAGUUUAACCAAUGUAAUAAGAAUACCCAUUGUUGUUCCAAGACUCUACCUACUUUAUUUAUUCAAAAUCAAAAAACUCCGGAACGGAUAUGUACGGAAUAGAGAUAUCCAACCGCCCAAGUAAAGAACUGCUACAAAUAAUGAAGAGACUAAUAAGUUAGAUAGGAAGCACAUAAAAUAAACCAAAUUUGAUACCCGAUAUUCGGUUUGAUACCUGCUACUAAUUCUUCUUCUGCUUCUGGUAAUCAAAAGGUAUCUCUCACAUUCUGCUAGGGAAGAAUGAAAAAAAUGAUAAUCCUAUAGGUGACGCCACAAAUUCCAUCCCCCCAACCAUUAAACAUCAAAGAACCUUAAGGGCUUCUGACAUGAAACUUUAGUAGUCGGUGAUGACAUCACUGUUCCCAUCGCUAUUACAGAACCAUACAUGAGAUUUCACCUCAUAUGGCUCCUCGAAGGCCAUAAAUAAUCUAAGGGCCAGAUCAUAUUAUUAUCUCGAUAUAUUUGUAGGAUAAAUAGGAUCCAAAUCUAUCGGAUGCCCCCCCAAUCCAAAAUUGACCAAUGUAAUUCUGUCUGUUAUAAUACUAAAAUAAGUACUUCUGAAUUGAUCUCAUCUUUUAAGAUUUCAAUUUUCUUUCUUGAGCAAUAACUUAAUCUUUCAUAAAAUACUUCUUGUAGAAAUACCAAUAAAUAUUUAACCAUUUUCGAUUACGAAAAAUAAUUAGACAGUCCAUUAUUCAUGAAUAUGACACGAAUUCGAUUUCUAUGAAUAUCGAUAUAGAAAGAAAGAAGAAAAGGAUCUCUUUUUUUCUUUUUCUAUUGUAAUUCUAUUCUUUUUUUUUGUUCCUAUUCUUCCUUCUGAAAAAAAAAAGGUAAAGGAUUAGUUCGUUCCUGAUAGUCAUUGUUAAUUGGUGGAUAGGAGCGUACUCUGGAUCGGAUCAUGGGGAGUACUGCUGAUCAUUCUACUAUUUUAAGCCCCAAUUAAUAUUCUUUUAUUUGGAUAAUUCUAUUACUAAUCUUUUAUGUAUCUUGGUGUCCUAACCAUCCACUCAUUUUAUUUUUCUCACUGCUCGGUAGCAUUACAGUAAUAUAUAUAUAUAUAUAAAUGAUAGUAAAUGCUCGGUAGCAUUACAGUAAUAUAUAUAUAUAUAAAUGAUAGUAAAACUCACUAAGGUUGAUCUUUGAGCCCGCUUUCAGCCAGGAUGACUAAUCAACCAAUUUUGGGACAAUGAUCUCAUCUUCUUAUGUUUAUUUCUGCUUUACUGUGUACAUAAGAAAUGAGUCUCGAUUUUUUUACUGCAAAUUUUAAAGCUGUUUCUUCACUCAUAUAACUAUCUAAUUUAGUUCAUCAAUUCAAAUGAUGAAUAAAAAAAUAAGAUAUAUAUUCAAUUAAUUCACCUCUUCCUAAUAAAGAAAAAGGGAAUAGGGAAAAAUUUUUGUUCAACGAAUCGCACGUAGAGAUAUGGAUAUACACAGAGAGUUAAUGGUAUUCAUAACUAAUCGAUUGAGCGGCAGCUCGUAGACCACCUAAAAAGGAUAUUUAUUAUUUGAUCCAUAUCCUGACAUAAGAAGUCCAAUGGGAGCAAUACUGAAAUGCAAUCCAUAAAAAGACGCCGAUAUUUAGAUCCGCUAAAACAAGUGAUAGCCAAAAGGAAUUACUGAUAGCUAAUAGAGUGAUAUGACUGCUAUGGAUGGUCCGAUACUGAAUAACGAGUUCUCCUCUAGAUGAAAAAGAUUUCUUUGAAAGUAGUUUGUUCCAUCCGCUAGAGCUUGAAGACUCCAAAAGACCGGCAUAUCAGGUCCAAUACGUUGUUGUAUCCCUGCAGAAAUUCUCUUUCUAACCACACAUUACUAGUAUGCCUAUCGUGAUUCCAAUACAGAGUCAAAAUAGGGACAAGCAUCCAUAUAAUUCCAUAAGGAUUCAAUCUGGAAAAAAAAGAAUUGAUAGCUAGCUUGUACUGUUGUUGUAUCAAUUACUUCUCAACGAUCAACUCCCGCUACUAGUAUGUCAUAAUAUCAGCCAAUUCAUUCUUUUAAUUAAUUGAGGAAGAAUUGCAAUUGAUAAACCCGGGGGGCGAAUUUUCCAUCUCCAGGAAAACUACUUUGAUCCCCUAUAGAAAAAUCCCAACUCUCCCUUUGGUGCUCAACUCGAACAUAAAGUCUUGUUUCGGCAAUUCAAGGCGGGAGAAGUUUUUUACUAUAAAUCGAUAUCAAAAUCAUCCAUUCUCGAUCCUUUCUCUAUCAAAACUUCGAGUUCUAAAUUUCAUAAGGCCCCCCUGGAAUCCCUCCAAAGCCUGUUGAAUAAUUUUACGGAUUCCGUCAUUUCACAAUUCGGACUAAUAACGAGCUAACGAAUCCCCUUCUUUUGCCACUGGACUCCCCAUCAAAUUCGUCAUACACUCAUAUGAUCACUUUACGAAGAUCCAUCGUACUCCGGAGCUCGUAGCAUUGGUCCUGAUAAACCCCAAUUUAUGCUCCUCUGCCUAACAUACCUAUUCCUUCACGCGUUCUAAAAAAAUAGGAUUUCGCGUAAUAAGUUUUGAUAUCAGCACUCCUGUUAAAAAUAUCGCAGAAAUCCAAACAUUAUCUAGCCAGCCAUGAGGUAGAUCAGCUGCUACUCCUCCGAUACGAAAAUAAUUAUGCAUCAUUCUCAUACCAGUGGCAGCUUCGAAUAAUCAUAUAUUAACUCUCUUUCUCUAAAAUAUAGAAGAAAGGGGUCUGCCACCAAUAUCUGCCAUAAAAGGGCAAGCCAUAAGAGAUGAGAAGCUAUACGACUCAACUCCAACAUAAUACUCUGAUAUAGCUAGCUCUUUUAGGUACUUGAAUAUUUCCCAACUGUUCCGGUCCAUUUAUGUUAUCGCUUCUGUAACAUAGUAGCUAAAUAAUCCCAACGUGUACAUAAGGCAAAUAUUGUAUAAUUGUUCGGUUUUCCGCAAUUUUUUCCAUCCCUCUGUGUAAUAACCUAAUAUUGGUUCGCAGUCAAUAACAUCUUCACCGUCUAGACUAAGGAUGAGUCGAAGAACGCCAUGCAUUGAUGGGUGGUGGGGACCAUAUUGACUAUCAUAAAGUCCUUUCUUGUAGCUGGUACAUUCAUAGGGGUUCCUCGAUUUAUUUUCCAUGAAUUACUGAAAACGAAAAGAAGUCAUCAAAAUUCAAGUUUAAGAUCUAAUAAUCAAAUAAUAAAAAAAAGACUCUUCAAAUUACGAGUUUUUGAUUCCCGAAUGUCACUGGCUAAUUAUUCUUUAUAACGUACUCCAUUUUUCUUGCCAAAUAAGACAGUAGUCGUUGGCGUUUCCUAGAAUUUUCCGUAACCUCUUUGAGAUAAAUAGUCUUUUCUAUGUAUUCCAAAUGUGAAGUAAGUCUUCGUAUCUUAUUAGUAAACUUACUAUUUGAAUUCAACGGAUCCCUUGUUUUCUUUUUUGUCUUCUUGUGAAUAAUUGAAUGAAUGAACUUUUUACCAUAAAUGAAUCCCCCUCCUCCCGCCUUUUUAGAUAGUUUUAUUGAUCAGUAAUAAUAAUAAUGGAAAUAAGAAUGUCAGUUUGUUUUUGAAUUUGGUAUACACAAUAAUCUUCAAUUCGCUAGGAAUCCUAUUUUGUCACAUUAAUCAUCCGAUUUUUUUUAUUCGGCUAGAAAUACAUAAAGAAUGGUAUAUUUCUUCCCUACAAAAGAAAAAAAAAAAAAAAUUAUAUCUAUAUCUAAAAAUUAAAACGAAAAAUGGAUUGAUAAUUUUUAGAUCAAUUGAUACAUGAUUGAAUUCCAUGUAUCAGAAUGAAUAUGGGAUGUAAAACAUGUAUAUGGACCUCUCCUGUUUUCAUAUAUUCAUAUACUAGACUAAAUAUGCUAUGGGAUAUAUAUGACAAAUGGACCUUUACCGACUUUUAAUCGUGGACAUAUAUGUAUCCUUAUCAUACUAAACCGACUAGCAUUAUGGUAUCAAACCAAUAGCGAUUAUACAAGCUAAAUCUUCUAAUCGAUAAUGGGCCAAAGAAAAAGUUUAAUUUAAUUAGUUAUUUUUAUCUCUAUCAAAAUGUUUCCUUUAUCUAUAAUGUGAGCGUGGUUUUUUAUGUUAUUAUUAUUGAUAAUUUCUGUAUUUAUAUCAUUUCCAUUUUUGAAUGAAAGAAAUUAGAAUUCUCAAUUCUCUACGAUGUUAGAGGAUAAAAGAUUUCGGGAACAGGUAAAUCAUAAUUAUUUUUGUCUUUAUUUCUAGUUAAACUUUGAUUUAUUACAAUAGAUUCGUUAAAUAGUUUUUUUUUCUGUAUCUUUGCUGUAUUGUUGUUUUCUCUCUUAUCAAUAAAAUAUUUAUGGUUUGAUACAUAAUAAUUUUCCAUCAUUUUUUACCGACAGACGGGUGAUUCGAUAUCAAUAUUCCCUUUUUCAUCAAUUCUGUAAGAGUUAAUCUUUCUGAAUCAUUAGAUAUCUAGACUCAGUCUCCCCUUUGAUAGAGGAUAUAAUAAUUUCUCGUGGAUUGUCAUCUAAGCAGGAGACAAUAUAUUUUUAUAUUAUUGAUUAUUUUUUGAUUUAAGAAUCAUCCCAUCUUAAUUGAAGCAUAAUACCUUUUAGCAGAAAUCAAGUUCUGCUUCCGUAUUACUUUUGUAUGCUUUUUCUUUCUCGCUCUUUCCUGUCUGAUCUUACAUAAUCUUCUUCACAUCUUUUUCUUGGUUUACUAGAACUGAUUCAAGAUCUACUGAUCCUCAGACUCUUUUCUUCAUGAUUUUGAUUCUUUAAUGAAUGGAUUUUGUUCAUUGGAUGAUAUAGAUAUAAAAGGAUCGUUAUUUUCUUUUUGUUGAUUUUUUAUUUUCACUAACAUUUUUAGUUCCAUUAAAAUUUAAAAAAAGUAUUUGAUUGGUAUCACCCAUGAUUUUAUCUUAUAUGCGUGCAAAGUAUCACAAAUUUGGAAAGAACCAAAAUUCUAAAUUGAUGUGGGACGAUCUAGUAUUCUUCAUUCAUUCCCAUCCAAUCAAAAAGGUUUUUUUUUGUUGGUUCCGGUAUCGAUCCAGGAUUCAAUAUCGACUUCUUUCUAAGACCAAAAUGGAGAUUCUCCAAUCCAAAUAUUUCUAUGCGAGCUUUUUUCGUAUCGAUAUAUCAUCUUCUGUUAGAUGCUUAUUGACAGGGAUACCUCCCGACAUAUCAAAUAAUUUCCUUUUAUCUAUUUUGUAAUAUAAAAAAGCUCUUGCUUAUUAUUUAUUGGAAUGGUAAUCAUAAAUAGAUGAGUCUUUUUUAUCUUCAUAAUUAAUGGAUUAUAUAAUAAAAUAUUAUAUCUAUAGUAUUUUUUAAAAUAUCUUUUUGGUUCGAUAAUGAAUCUACUUCAAAUUAUUUUGUUUUUCAUAAUGAAUUAUUGGUCUUUGUCAUAUAAAUUCCAUUAUUUAAAUCUUUAUUUUGAAUCAUAUGCUGUGAUCAUUCUAUUUCGCCAUUUUGCGAUAUUAAGCUAGACCAUCUGAUCUGAGAUAAAUCGUAUUUAUAUGAUAAGUACUUCUUACCCAGUUUUCCAUUCAUUCAUUACAGAAUUUCUAAAAUUUGUAUCUUUAAUUGAACUGAAAUCUUCCUUGGACUCCAAAUAAUCUUUUAUUUCAUUCUAAGAAAAAGAGAUGCUCCAUGAUAUGAAAGACAGAUCUUAACUUAUAUAGGUUAAUAACUUGGACUUGUGAUAAUUUGUAAAAUACAUAUGCUUGUGACAAGGAGGUAUGUUAUAAAAAAUCUUCGAGUUCUUAUUAAAAUACUAUAAUUUAAUGCCUUUUUUAUAAUCGAGAUAAAGUGAAUUAGUGUAUUUUGAUUUGUUUCUCAAUUCUUUUGUGAUUUUCUUUUUUAUAUACAUAUAAAUGUAUUUAUUAAUCAUUUUUCUUGGUGAUUCAAGAAAAACUGUACAUUGAUCCUCGGAAUAUAAUUAUAGCUAGAAGGAUAUCUAUAUAUAUCUUUUCAUCAAAAUUUUGAUAAAAAAUAUGAUUUACGGACUAAUUGAGCAUUGUUUCUUUUUAUAUCUGUAAAUAUUUUUUGAUGAUUUUAAUUUAAUCUUUAGCAUUAUAACUUAGUUUGUUAGGACUAAUAUUCUUUCUGAGAUUAGAAAUCGUUUUUCUUUUCUUUUGUAUUUUUUCUAUUUGAUUUCUUAUUGUCUUUGUUCUGGCAUUCAGAUCUUUCAUUUUUUUUCUGUCAGUGAAUAGUUAUCCAAUCCAUAGAUCGAAUGAAGUGGAAAUUUAUGAAUAGUCCGAUUAUUGAUUGGUGAUUUUUUUCGUUUUUAGUUUCAUUUAAUUCAUAUACUUCUCUAAAUCCAAUAAUAGAAUUGGAUUUCUUUUUGAUUUUGAAAUUUAUUUAUUAUUUCUUUUAGAAAUAGAUACCUUUGAUGACCAGUUUUUUGUUUCUUUCGGUAAAUGUAGAAAUAGUUUCUUUUUCUUUUAAAAUUGUUAGAGUUAGAAACCAUUUUUUUUCACUUUCUAAUUUUUUUUUUUAGUUUUUUAAAAUAGGUUCAAAAAGUGAAGCUCUUUUCGGGGAGAACCAAAAGGAAGUCAGCUUCCAUUCCCCAAACUGUAAAAAACAAAAAUCAUUUUUUUGUCUUUUCUUUUUUAUUGGAUCUUUAGAAAGGAUUUAAACUUAGAUCUGUGCCAAGGUGUAGUCGAAAGGAAUAGGAUCUUUAUUUGAUACCGUCUGUAACCAGUUUUUCGGAAUUCUGUUUCUGAUAAUUGAACUCCAUUAUAGGUGCAUUUAACAUGCAUUUCUCUAUUCCAUCCUUUAAUCCUCGGACCAUUCAGGAAUUGAAAUAAUAGCAUACGAAUGAUAUUUUAGCUAUUAUAAUGAAGGCAAUAGAUAUAUUUUCGAAGAUCGAUUGAAUUACUAAAACACAACCUCUUAUUGCUUGAGCAAAAUAAUGCUAUCCCAGGUUUCGGCUAUUUCUAUACGGACUUUUCUUCUCUUUUGUCUUCUUCUCGUCUGUUUUUGAUCUCUUCUUUUUCUUUUUUGUCACUUUCUUUUGUUUUUUCUUCUGUAUAAGUAGAAGUAGAAUCUGAAAUUGUGAUUCAACAUUAUUUUCAUCAGCUCAGAAACAUUAUUUCAUCAGCUCAGAAGUAUCAAAAGCAAAAAAAAGAAAUUUGUCUAUUCUGUCUAAAAAAGGGGAGAAUGCAAAUUUGCGCCUUUGUGUUCGCAUGGAGCCUUUGCGCCUUUGUGUUCGCAUGGAGCCCUUUGUGAAUAACGUAUCAAAGCCACUUCGCCUGUUGAUCAAAAUUAGUUGUAUCUUUAGUUAUAAAAUAUGUAGGAGGUGGUCGGAUCUCUUGAUUAUCAGUAAAAAUUACUACACGUUUGGGAACGAAUCUCAUGAUCCCCAUUUUUUCUUCUUUUUCUCUUGUUGUUCCAAUCGAAGAGUCUCUUUAAACCAUCGAGGAAUUUGUAACAAAUCGAGGAAUUUGGAUUUUUUAAUUAAGUUCAAGAAAUAACCAAAUAAAAAUUUAAAUUCUUAUUUUUAAAAUUCUUAUUCGAUUCUUGAUAUUAGAAUAAGAAGGAUAAGAUAAUUUUAUUUAUCCAAAGCAUCUCUAUGUAAUUUUUAUGGAAAUUCAUUUAUGAUUGAGGGGAAAAAAAAAAAUUGACUUUCCACGAUAGAGCCACUCAAAAAAGGAUCAUAUAUUUAGGUAAGUAUUCUUUUUAGUUUCAUCAUUACACAAUCUAGUCUUUUUUUCGAGUAUAUUCAGAACACGAAACCCCUUAUCUAGACUUCUACUCUAUUUAUAAACUCGUUACUUAGGUUUUCUUUUUUUGUUCAUUGUUAUAAUUCCAAUGAUAUACAUUCAUCAGAGGAGAGUUUUUCUGUUGGAACAGAGACAUCUUUCUUUGUAUCAUUCCAAAAAAGUUGACAAACUGGGUGGAUACGUAAAGGAUAUCUUUCUUUUCCAUCACUUCGACAUGUAGAAAAAAAUAUUGUGACAUUUCCUUUCUUACAGCAUUCUUAAAUUGAUCGUUUUUUAUAUAUCGAAAUGGACGAUUCCAGCGUUUAUAGUCGAAAGAAUAGUACACGAGGUUUUCAAACCAUACGAGAUCUUUAUCUUUUUUAUCUAAAAGAUUUCUACUUCGAAUUUUCUUGAUUCCCAUCUAAAUAAAAAGUUCAUAAACAGGUCUAUUUUUAUAGCAUGUCUCUUUAAAGUGAAAAUGGAAUCAUCCUUUGUUUUUUCCUUUCAUUCACUCGGAUCUCUUCCGUUUCGUCGAUUUGUCAGGAUUCUCCUUUUCUUCUGAAAGAGGGAAGAAGAAGGAUCUCUUCGGUGGAUCCCUCUUGUUCCUGUUUAGUCCCCUUCGUUUCGGGAGUGUUUCUAUUUCUACAUCUGUUCUUCCUCCCUUCUUCCGUUUCUGAGGUUCUUUCAGUUUCUUAGUAAAAUGGGUGACGGUAUUCUGCCUAAAGAGUAGACACAGGUAAUAAAUAAGAGAAUACUAAAGAUUCGAGCCAUAGAAUUCUCAAUUCUGACACAGGUACUUAUUAGAUCGAAUGUACUUAUUCGAUCUAGAGAUUAUUUUGCUGUAUCCAGACUAAUAUCAAUCCAACCCAUUUCAUGAAUAAAAUGUGACCAAUUACCAACCAACAAACUACUUGUUACAAAUAACAUCUUGUGUUGCAUCGAAACAUAUAAAUGUUGACUAAUCUGACUACAUUGAACUUGGUAAAAUGAAAUGGUGAAUAAUGAAAAAUGAGAAAUACACAUUGAAUGCUAAUAAGAUUACGCAUUGAUUUCUAGUAGAUCCAUAAUCAAAAAAGUGUUUGUGAUUGUCCAGAAGAAAUGAAACAAAAGAUACGGUAGAGCUAGGACAGUUAUUGUAUGAGGUCUACCCAAUGCUAGAUGCAGAGGCG
rnacentral:lncRNA from 1 species